UAAACUCAGAUGUAUCUUCUCCUUGUUGCCUCCUGCUCGUAUUGGGUAGAAUGAAAUUUAAUAAGUUUGUGAUAGAUCACAGUUCAUAAAAUUUUUCCUUAUUUUUCAUGUAUCUCUGGCUUUUCUACUUCUGGCUGGAACCAAGGACAAAAAUCCCUUCCCCUGAGUCUAAUCUUGGAGUCCCAUGUUCAAGUGAACUGUUCAUUCAGGUCAAAGGGACUUCAGUCAGAAACGGAGACAGUCAUCAGAGAUCUCUGUUAGCCUUUCUUUUAAGAUAGUGUCUGGAAUCUGUGUCCAUGGGACACUGGGAGCAGCUUCACCUACCUCAUCCCAGGAGCCAAGGGUAAAGCAGUUUCAAUAUUGUUGAUUUAUGUUUAUAUACAUUAUAAAGAUGAAAAUGGGAUAAUCGUAAGGUCAUGUAUAAAAUGGAGAAUUCCUUUCCUCUUUUCUGUAUGUGUCCUCCACCAGGAGCUGGGAAAUAUGUAAAGCUCUUUCCCAUAGAAAGGGGCAUUUCUGCUACUUCUGCAAGGUGGCCCUUCUCUCGUUCCCUUUACGUAAGCUGAGCUUAGUGCACUAUUGUUCUUUCUUGUUGUGGUGGUGUCUCCUGUGUGUAUCUCUAGAAACAGAGGCCAAGGAAAAUGUCCCAGGCAAGAGCAAAGUUGAGACUUGGGCUUCUCUGUUUAAGAAGCCAAAACCUCUGUCAACUGUAGAGGGACAGCAAAUUCACUUUUCAUCCCCCACCACGAAAAAUGUAAAAGAGAAAUGCAUUUUUCAUUCUUUAGAUAGAAGAAGCCAUGGAAGAGGAUAAUAGGGCCUUGAAGAGAUCCUGCAGAAUUUGGUUUAGGAGUGAACAUGACUACGUGGGAAGAAGAAGAGGGAAGAUUCACGCCCAGAAAACUUGAUUCUUACCUCGUACCAGUUUUAUGUCGUGUUACUUCGUUGAACAUGCUGGGAUUGAGAUCGGCUGUACGAACAGGUACAGGAAGGUGCCAUGCUAUGAGACGACCUCUGAAAUGGAGCCAGCAGGGUCAAGAGGAAGAGGAGUGACCCUCAAACCUUGAAUUGCUAGGUAGGAUCUGAAAACGGAGCCUUGUAUGCUCUUUUUUUGGCGGGUGCCAACUCGUCUUGCUGCAGUUGGAUAACGUUCAUUUGGAAAAGGCGCCUGAAAAAUUGAAGCUGCCAGAGGCGACUCUAAAGAGCGUAUGAUGGAAACAAAUUGAGUCACCACCAAUGUGGCUAACAUUGUUGGUGGAAACUGGGGCACCCGCAUGAGCCAUUGUUCGUUGUACCUCGUCUGGUUUAUGUAGCUCGCUGAGUUGAAAGCUGGAUCUGCAUUAACCUUGUGAUUCGAGAGGGAUUCAUGCAAUGUGGUUUCAAUUGUCUAUGGAUGCUUUCAGUCCGUACUGCGCGCUGCCAGUAACGAUGGGUCCUACUGGUCUCCCGCAUUCAUGGUGGUGUCUACAGCUCGCCCUGAUGAAGCUGUGGUGAGGACUGUUUCCUGAUGUGGUCACUUUUAGUGGGCUGCUGCUCUGCAAGUCUGCUAGGAGAGGAGUUUUUAUUCACUCUUCCCUCUGCCCCGAUAACAGCUGCUGCAUAGAAGUUUUCCCUGAAUACAUUUUGCUGUGGAAAAGAGCUAUUUUUUUUU
rnacentral:lncRNA from 1 species